rnacentral:rRNA from 1 species
GUGCCAGCAGCCGCGGUAAUACGUAGGGGGCGAGCGUUGUCCGGAUUUAUUGGGCGUAAAGCGCGUGUAGGUGGCGUACUAAGUCUGACGUGAAAACUCUCGGCUCAACUGGGAGAGGCCAUUGGAGACUGGUAUGCUAGAGUGCAGGAGAGGGAAGUGGAAUUCCUAGUGUAGCGGUGAAAUGCGCAGAUAUUAGGAGGAACACCAGUGGCGAAGGCGGCUUCCUGGACUGCAACUGACGCUGAGACGC